rnacentral:rRNA from 1 species
CGGAUUGUAGGCUGAAACUCGCCUACAUGAAGCUGGAGUUGCUAGUAAUCGCGAAUCAGCAUGUCGCGGUGAAUACGUUCCCGGGUCUUGUACACACCGCCCGUCACACCAUGGGAGUUGGUAACGCCCGAAGCCAGUGACCCAACCUUAAGAGGAGGGAGCUGUCGAAGGUGGGACCGAUAACUGGGGUGAAGUCGUAACAAGGUAAC